rnacentral:rRNA from 1 species
UACGUAGGGUGCAAGCGUUGUCCGGAAUCAUUGGGCGUAAAGCGCGCGUAGGUGGCUUCGUAAGUCCGUUGUGAAAGUCAAAGGCUCAACCUUUGAAAGCCGAUGGAUACUGCGGAGCUAGAGUACGGAAGAGGCGAGUGGAAUUCCUGGUGUAGCGGUGGAAUGCGCAGAUAUCAGGGGGAACACCGGUGGCGAAGGCGGGUCUCUGGGCCGUAACUGACGCUGAGGAGCGAAAGCAUGGGGAGCGAACAGG